rnacentral:rRNA from 1 species
UACGUAGGGUGCGAGCGUUAAUCGGAAUUACUGGGCGUAAAGCGUGCGCAGGUGGUCAUGCAAGACAGAUGUGAAAUCCCCGGGCUUAACCUGGGAACUGCAUUUGUGACUGCACGGCUAGAGUGCGGCAGAGGGGGAUGGAAUUCCGCGUGUAGCAGUGAAAUGCGUAGAUAUCAGAAGGAACAUCAGUGGCGAAGGCGGCUUCCUGGACCAAUACUGACGAUCAGGUGCGAAAGCGUGGGGAGCAAACAGG